UACAGAGGUCUCAAGCGUUGCUCGGAUUUACUGGGCGUAAAGCGCACGUAGGCGGAUCGAUCAGUCAGGGGUGAAAUCCCAGGGCUCAACCCUGGAACUGCCUUUGAUACUGUCGAUCUGGAGUAUGGAAGAGGUGAGUGGAAUUCCGAGUGUAGAGGUGAAAUUCGUAGAUAUUCGGAGGAACACCAGUGGCGAAGGCGGCUCACUGGUCCAUUACUGACGCUGAGGUGCGAAAGCAUGGGUAGCGAACAGG
rnacentral:rRNA from 1 species